rnacentral:lncRNA from 1 species
ACAUCACUAUAUAAACUUCUAUGACUUUACCCUUCCUUAUGGCUACAAUGCCUCUAGGAUAUACAUGACAUAACUAGGGUCGGGACAAACCCCUGCCCACACCUGAAUCAUGUACAAUAACAAAACAUAAGGAACCGACUCGGAAAGCUCCGAAGCAAACUGGAGCUCACCAACAAUAGCUGUAUGACCUGGCGCCUACUGGUGCGGUGGAUGAGCUGAGGUACCUGUGCCUGCAGCAUGAAAUGCAGGUCCCCCGUGAGGGACGUCAGUACGAAAUAUGUACUGAGUAUGUAAAGCUGUAAAUAAUCACAUAUGAUAUAGGAGCUCAAUAGAAAUCAGAAACAAGUGAAUAAGUCGUAAUAGGAGUGGACCAUACUUACUAGAACUUGUGACAACCUGUACAUUGUAUUUAUUCAAUCACUUUACCUUCGUUCUUAUCGUCUUUGUAAUCAUUACUGUACUGUACUGUGACCAUUAGGAUGCCUCCAGUACAUAUCAACUGGGAUCGACCCAUGCUAGGCUUAUGCCCCUGGGAUACCACCCAUAAACACAUGAAAUAGGGAUCGACCCAUGCUAGGCUUAUGCCCCUGGGAUACCACCCGAUAAGAAAGAACUCCCAUCACUUAGUUCAAUUAAUCUUUGAGAUUGUUAUUUCGGUCGCCACCACAUUUUUGAUACUUUGAAACAAUGAUACAUCAAUAGGAACCAAGUAAUAGACCUUCUAUACAAUAACGAUGUAAUAAAGACUCAUUGGUACAUCAACAAUGUGUUUCAGAAUCAUCAAUAUCACAACAAUGAAAUAGGAGCCUUUUGGUAUAUCAAUGAAACAUUUUGACACUUUAUAGGAUGGAAACAACUUCGUUGGUAACGUAGAACAAUACAUGUUUUUGGACAACCUCGGAAUCUUACUUGAUGGAACAUUGGUGUUUUCAUGCCAAAGAACAUUGUUAGAGUAUGCUUUACAUACCUCGUUGUAGAUUCAGAUACCAAUUCAACACAACUUCCCGCCUUUACAAAUCACUUAUCUACAAUGAAAUGUUUGGCAUCUAGUAUUAGCAACCCAACACCACAAUUCUCUUCCAUAAUUCCAUACUACCAAUAUUUGCAAAACAUUCCAAAAACCAACUUGAACAAUAGGUUUAUGUGUGUAUAUAUAUAUAAUCAUCAUUUCAAUACCACAUCAUCAAUACCACAUCAUCACCCCAAAUUCCUUCACAAUUUAACAUAAUCCAACCAUGCACAAGAAUAAUCCAACAUCAUUUCCAAUCAUCUUUCAACAACAAUCAAAUAACAUACUUCUUAUGCUCACAUGCAUAUAUAUAUAUAUACAUAUCCAUAUAAAUAACACCAACAUAAUUUACAUCCUUACCAAAAAAAUGGCCCUUUUGAUUUCGAAGUCCUGUUGGCACAAAUAAGGGGUGCUUCUCGAAGCCCUUGAGACGGUGAACACAACUACGGAAUCAAUUUGGAUUUUCUACGGUUGAAUCACAAGAUAAUUGGAGUUGAACUUAGGCUAGGGUUUCUUAUUCUUCAAUGAUUUGGAUGAUAAAUGGUGGAUAUAAGGCUAAGUAUAUGUAUAUAAUGACCAAUUUUCGUCCAUGAGGUGAUGGAAAAUGACCAUAUUGCCCUUAAAAAUUUAAGUAAAUCCGAAUCUGUCCAUGGUGGACUGUUUUGAUAGGCUAAAGUAAAUCGGCCAUAACUCUUUGCUCCGAUAUCGGAUUUGGGUGAAAUUGGUAUCGUUAGAAAGAUAAUUCAAAGGUAUUUCAUUUAAUAUAAAUUAAUCCACCCAGUUCGUCCUGUACAAGUAGUUAUGAUCGUUUGAAGUUGACCCUAAAAAUCUGUUUUGAGAGGCUGAAGUAAAACGAGUAUAACUCCUUACUCAGAUGUUGGAUUUGGAUGAAACCAAUUUCAUUGGAAAGAAGACUCAAAGAUCUUUCUUUUGAUAUAUGGUAGCUCAACCAGUUCAUUAUAUUGAGGGAGUUAUGAUCGUUCAAAGUUGACCCAAAAAACUGGCAGGCCUCAGUAGUUUCCUGCACAUUUUACUGUUCACAUCCCGGCCACCGUUUUAAAGUUUCGAACGAGCUCGCUUAUAUCCGAAACUUAUCCGUUUUUGGAAAUCUUUAUAUCGUUGGAAAGCUUAUUCAAUAACCUUCGUAUGGAACCAUCGACGGGAAAAUUCCGAUAUAAAUAAAGUCGAUUCCUAUACACCUAUAAUCAAACUAUACACUUGAAACCAUCUCAAAAUAAUCAAUACUCAUACUUAAACUCAUAUAUACCUAACUUAGGAUCAAUACAUAUACCCCAACACAUAUAACAAUGACUAAUGCACGUAAUUAAGUACGGGGUGUUACAUCCUUCCCCCCUUAAGGACAUUCGUCCUCGAAUGUGAAUGUAGUUAUUUAGCCGAAACAAGUUCAAGUCCACCAUUAACAUUCACAUCAUCACAUAAAUACUAUGCAUAUAUAAACAAAAACUUACUUGUUAAUGUUCUAACUCCGUUUCUUGAACUUCCUCUUCAUCUUUGAACAAAUGAGGGUACUUAGAUUUCAUUGCUUCCUCAGCUUCCCAUGUAAUCUCUUCCCUUUGUUGAUUUCUCCAAAGUACCUUUACUGAUGCCAUUUCUUUGUUCCUUAACUUUUUAACUUGGCGAUCUAGAAUAGCAACCGGUACCUCUUCAUAAGUAAGAUCCUCUGUGACCUGUACAUCUUCUAUAGGAGUGAUACGAGAGGGGUCACCUAUGCAUUUUCGAAGCAUUGACACAUGAAACACUGGAUGAACCAUUGAAAGUUCCUGGGGUAGCUCUAAUUCAUAUGCAACUUGUCCGACCCUCUUGGUAAUCUUAUAUGGCCCUAUGUAACGUGGGCUUAGUUUCCCUUUUUUACCAAAUCUCAUAACCCCUUUCAUUGGUGAUACCUUUAAAAAUACCCAAUCUCCAAUAGAGAAUUCCAGCCCUCUUCUCCGAAUAUCUGCAUAUGAUUUAUGACGACUUUGGGCUGUUUUUAGCCGUUGUUGUAUCACCUUGACUUUUUCUAUGGCUUGAUACACAAGAUCCGGUCCGAACAUAAGAGUUUCACCCGCUUCGAACCAUCCUAUUGGUGAUCUACACUUUCUCCCAUAUAAAGCUUCAUAUGGUGCCAUUUUGAUACUUGAAUGAUAGCUAUUAUUGUAGGCAAACUCAAUAAGAGGUAAAUGAUCAUCCCAGCUGCCUUUAAAAUCUAUAACACAUGCUCGUAGCAUAUCUUCAAGUGUUUGAAUGGUGCGCUCUGCUUGUCCAUCCGUCUGAGGGUGAAAAGCUGUACUCAGAUUCACUUGUGUUCCCAAACCCCGUUGGAAAGACUUCCAAAAGUUUGCAGUAAAUUGAGUUCCCCGAUCCGAUAUAAUAGAAGUUGGCACUCCAUGUAAUCGGACUAUUUCUUUAACAUACAGCUUCGAAUAUUCUUCAACUGUGUAAGUGGUCUUAACGGGUAAGAAAUGUGCGGAUUUAGUAAGCCUAUCCACAAUCACCCAUAUAGAAUCAAAUUUUCGAGCUGUACGAGGCAAACCUGUAACAAAAUCCAUGUUGAUCAUGUCCCACUUCCAAAUUGGAAGAUCUAUGCAUUGCAUAUAGCCUCCGGGUUUUUGGUGCUCAACUUUAACUCUUUGACAAUUUGGACAUUCAGCUACAAAUUCUGCAAUGCUCUUCUUCAUGUCAUUCCACCAAUACAUAUCUUUCAAAUCUUGAUACAUUUUGGUUGAUCCUGGAUGAAUGGAAUACCUUGAAAAAUGUGCCUCUGUCAUAAUCUUCUUUCUUAGCCCGUCUAUAUCCGGCACACACAAUCGGUUUUGGCACUGAAGUACUCCUUCUCGCGUAAGCUCAAAUGCCUUGGUCGCACCACUCUGAACGUUCUCCUUAAGAUGUAAUAAAAUAGGAUCUGCAUAUUGCUUCUCUUUCACUUCAGCUACUAAUGAAGAUUCCGCAGCAUUAUGUACGAUAAGCUCUUUAUUCGGAGUUUCAAGAAGGCGAACUCCCAAACUAGCUAACUGGUGAAGAUCUUUAACCAUCCCUUGCCUUUCUAUAGGCGCCAUCAUAGCCUUACGACUUAACGCAUCAGCUACCACAUUUGCUUUCCCUGGAUGGUACAAGAUAUCAACAUCAUAGUCCUUUAAUAGUUCAAGCCAUCUCCGCUGCCUUAAAUUUAGAUCCUUCUGAUUAAAAAUAUAUUGCAAGCUCUUAUGGUCAGUAUAUAUAUCAACGUGAACCCCAUAUAAGUAGUGGCGCCAUAUCUUUAAAGCAAAAAUAACCGCUGCCAGCUCAAGAUCGUGUGUAGGAUAAUUUUUCUCAUGUGGCCGUAAUUGUCUAGAAGCAUAUGCUAUUACCUUACCAUGCUGCAUCAAUACACAUCCUAAACCAAUUCUGGAAGCAUCACAAUACACUGUAUACCCUUCGGUGCCUUCUGGUAGUACCAACACGGGUGUAGAAAUCAACUUGUUCUUUAAAUCUUGAAAACUCUUCUCACAGGCAUCAUUCCAUUGGAAUUUGGAUGCUUUAUGGGUUAGCUUGGUUAAGGGUGCUGAAAUGGAAGAAAAGUCUUUGACAAACCUUCUAUAAUAACCGGCCAACCCAAGAAAACUACGAAUCUCCGUAGGCGUUGUGGGCCUUGGCCAGUUCUUCACAGCCUCUAUCUUUUGAGCAUCAACCUUUAUCCCUUCACUAGAUACAAUAUGACCCAAAAAUGCCACCGACUUUAACCAAAACUCACAUUUAGAGAACUUUGCAUAAAGCUUACAAUCACGAAGAGUCUGCAAUGCCUGUCGUAAGUGAUUGGCAUGGUCCUCUUCUGAUCUAGAAUAAACUAGAAUAUCAUCUAUAAAAACUAUCACAAAUACAUCCAGGAAUGGCUUAAAAACCCUAUUCAUCAAAUCCAUAAAAGCUGCGGGUGCAUUUGUUAGCCCAAAUGACAUAACUAGAAACUCAUAAUGACCAUACCUUGUUCGGAAAGCUGUUUUGGGUAUAUCUUUUUCUUUGACCCUCACUUGGUGGUAACCUGACCUCAAAUCAAUCUUAGAAAAGCACUUGGCGCCCUGUAACUGAUCAAAUAAAUCAUCAAUUCUUGGGAGAGGAUAUUUAUUCUUAAUAGUCACCUUAUUCAAUUGCCGAUAAUCAAUACACAUCCUCAGCGAGCCAUCCUUUUUGCGUACAAAUAACACUGGUGCUCCCCAAGGGGAAAUACUAGGCCUAAUGAACCCCUUUUCUAGCAAAUCUUUCAAUUGCUCUUUCAAUUCUCGUAAUUCUGCUGGGGCCAUUCUAUACGGAGGAAUGGAGAUUGGUUGGGUGCCUGGUAUUACAUCAAUACCAAACUCUACUUCUCGUUCAGGAGGCAAACCUGGAAGAUCUUCAGGAAAUACAUCAGAAAAUUCAUUUACCACCGGAACAGCGUGAAGAGUUGGUGGCUCCGCUUCUGUAUCCCUUACUCUAACUAAAUGAUAUAUAUAUCCCUUGGAAAUCAUUCUUCUCGCCUUAAAAUAAGAAAUAAAUCUACCUCUUGGCACGCUAAUUUCACCUUUCCAUUCAAGGACUGAUUCAUUUGGAAAAUGGAAAUAUACCUUUUUCGUGCAGCAAUCAAUUGUGGCAUAACAAGACGCCAACCAGUCCAUACCCAUUAUAACAUCAAAAUCUACCAUUUCUAACUCCACAAGAUCAGCCAUCGUAUCACGACCACAAACAGUUACUAUGCAGUUUCGAUAAACCCUUCUAGCUAUAAUAGAUUCCCCGACCGGUGUGGACACUUCAAAUGGCUUAACUAACAGUUCGGGUAUUCUUUCGAACUUUCCAGCAACCAAUGGAGUAACAUAAGAUAAUGUAGAACCGGGAUCAAUUAAGGCAUAUAAAUUGAAUGAAAAUAUAGCCAACAUACCCGUAACCACAUCUGGAGAAGCCUCUAAAUUCUGUCGAUCUGCUAGAGCAUACGUACGAUUUUGAGCCCCGCUAGAACUCGUGGCUCCUCUAUCACCUCUAACACGACCCAUUGGCUGUGCACCCCUUCCUGAAUAAGGCAUCGAUGAUGAUGAUGCAACAAAUGACCCCGUAGGUCGUGCCAUACCCCCUAUGUCCCUUCGUGGGCAUUCCCUCAUCAUAUGCCCCGACAUACCGCACCAAAAGCAAACAUUGGUCCCCAGCCGACAUGCGCCCAAAUGAUACCUUCCACAUUUAUUGCAUGGCUCUCGAGGAGGUCUUGAUUGGCUCAUAUUCCCUUGACCUUGGUACCCCACUGUCCGCGAACUCUGACUCUCACUUCUGUGCCCAAAUUGAUUUCCUCUGAACCCUUGGAACUGUGGUGGGGCACUAGCUGUAGAAUAAGAGGAUAAUGGCCUAGGUGGUCUAGCAGAAAACUGUGGUCUGAACCCUCUUUCGAAUGCCAUGAACUGCCCUGUAGAUCUGGCCCUCUUGGAAUAUCCUCUUUCUGAUUCCUGUGUUCUUCUCCUCUGCCUCUGAUCUUCCAUUUUUUGUGCAAAAGCUUGGAUUCUCGCUAUGUCCAUAUCUUUGUUCAAAGCAGCAAUAGUACAAUCUCUAACCAGAUAUGGAUCUAGCCUAUCCACAUAUUGAUGAACUCUGUCAACCAUAGUAGCUACAACAUUAGGAGCAUAUCUCGACAAGGAAUUAAAUCGAAGACUGUACUCCCUCACGCUCAUAUUCCCCUGACGAAGAUUUAAAAACUGAUCUGCACGGGCCUGACGAAUCUCGAAUGGAAGAUAAUGAUCAAGAAAUGCCUCUUUGAACUCCUUCCAAGUAGCUGGGGGUGCAUCAAUACCCCUAGAUCGUUUCCAGUCCUCAUACCAAUAUAUAGCCUCCCCUUUAAAUCUAUACGCCGCUAACUCCACUGUCUCUCUACCCGUUACAUGCAUAACAUCCAAGGCCCUUUGAAUUUGAUCGAUAAAGUCCUGUGGGUCCUCGUUAAGAUCUGAUCCAGUAAAAGUGGGAGGAUCCAUCUUAAGAAAAUCCUGUGUUCGAAGGCUAGCCGCCCUAUCUAUACCACUAGGACCUGCAGUAGGAAUGGCUUGCCCUUGAGCUUGCCCAGCAACUAUACGAGUCAAAAGUUGCACUGCAUUUCUAAGAUCUUGAUCAACAACAUUAAUAGGUGGCUCUGCGGAUAUAGUUCUCCUCCCCCUUAUUUCUUCCGGACUGGAGGAAGUUUCUGAUGCAUGCUCAGCUGGAGCCUCACUUUGAUUAGCUGGUAUAGUGGGUGACUUACUAGUCCCCUCUCCGGCAGCCACAUCUACUUGCUUACCGGUAUUCUUGCUUCUGGUAACCGGCAUCAUUACUAUAAUAAGAGAAACAAACUGAUUCAGUGGUCAACUAUGACUUCAUAUACAAUAUAAGCUCUAUCGCACGAUCUAAGACAUGAAGAAAAGAAACAAUUCCUAAAUGUCCAUAGCCUCCUGUUUAUAGAUGUGGUGCACAACACACCGAUAAACAAGACCCUACGUAGACACGGCUUUGUAGACUCACUAGGACGAACCUCUCUGAUACCACUUUUGUCACGCCCCAAAAUCCCAUCGGGCCGGACUGGCACCCGAAGCCGAGAAGGCCCGGGAGAACCCGUUCAAAUACCUGUACUUUCACUUACAUGUCACCAAAAAAAUUGGACAGCACUUCGUUGCAUAUAGAAAGGUCUAAUUACCUGUAUCAGCACAACACGCACAAAUAUAUAUAUAUAAUACUUGGCCGUCGGGGCCACCACAUAUACAAAUAUAACGUUACUAUAUAAACUUCCAUGACUUUACCCUUCCUUAUGUCUACAAAGCCUCUAGGAUAUACAUGACAUAACUAGGGUCGGGACAAACCCCCGCCCACACGUGACUCAUGUACAAUAACAAAACAUAAGGAACCGACUCGGAAAGCUCCGAAGCAAACUGGAGCUCACCAACAAUAGCUGUAUGACCUGGCUCCUACUUGUGCGGUGUAUGAGUUGAGGUACCUGUGCCUGCAGCAUGAAAUGCAGGUCCCCCGUGAGGGACGUCAGUACGAAAUAUGUACUGAGUAUGUAAAGCUGUAAAUAAUCACAUAUGAUAUAGGAGCUCAAUAGAAAUCAGAAACAAGUGAAUAAGUCGUAAUAGGAGUGGACCACACUUACUAGAACUUGUGACAACCUGUACAUUGUAUUUAUUCAAUCACUUUACCUUCGUUCUUAUCGUCUUUGUAAUCAUUACUGUACUGUACUGUGACCAUUAGGAUGCCUCCAGUACAUAUCAACUGGGAUCGACCCAUGCUAGGCUUAUGCCCCUGGGAUACCACCCAUAAACACAUGAAAUAGGGAUCGACCCAUGCUAGGCUUAUGCCCCUGGGAUACCACCCGAUAAGAGAGAACUUUCAUCACUUAGUUCAAUUAAUCUUUGAGAUUGUUAUUUCGGUCGUCACCACAUUUUUGAUACCUUGAAACAAUGAUACAUCAAUAGGAACCAAGUAAUAGACCUUCUAUACAAUAACGAUGUAAUAAGGACUCAUUGGUACA